CACCACCACCACUCGGCUAACAAGAAAUGACAUCACAAACACCGUAUCUCCAGUGAUCGGAAGGCUACCCUCCCCCUGUGGAUGGAGAGAGCCCUCCCCCAUACACGCCAUCCAUACACUCCAAGAAUCAUACACUUCCGAAGGGCUGCAGUAAGGUUCUCUUCAAAUAUGAGGACCAGGAUGGUGGGAGUGGGGGCAGUGUGUGGCCCCUCUCCCCUCCCCCUCCCCCUUGGCCCUGAGAAGCAACAGUAGCAGCAGCAGCAACAGCAACAACAACAACAACAACAACAACAACAGUAAUGUGAUGCCAAUUGUUCUUAGACCCCACCCAAGCCACCAAUCAUCCAUCACUUCUGAUCUCAGUUUGCCAAGUUCCUGUUGUUUUCAUCCACGAGUUCCACCGCAGUCUGCUCGUGACCCAGCCACGCGACGGUCCCCAGCCAUCUCUAAGAAUGCCGUCAGACACUCACACAACACAGCAUCACUGGCAGAAGUGCGUGUACUGUCUGAAGGUCUGCACUGCAAGUGUUGGGUCGGGACAGUAAUGGCCCACCUGAAGACAGACAGCUGCAGUUUGUAACAGUGCUGGAAAUUGAUGAAAUACAGUGACAUUUGACUAGUGGAGACAAAGAGUGAAUGGCUACACAAGUUAGAUUAAUUCUCACUAUAUAAGGAUGAGCCAUAAAUAUUUUUCUUAUUACAUUAAUUUCCACAAAGUGCUCAGUAAUACUUUCAAAUUAAAUAAACAAUCAGUCACUACAUUCCUGUACAGUGUUUUCCUA